rnacentral:rRNA from 1 species
GACGUAGGGCGCAAGCGUUGUCCGGAUUUAUUGGGCGUAAAGAGCUCGUAGGCGGCUUGUUGCGUCGACCGUGAAAACUGUGGCUUAACUACAGGCUUGCGGUCGAUACGGGCGGGCUGGAGUUCGGUAGGGGAGACUGGAAUUCCUGGUGUAGCGGUGAAAUGCGCAGAUAUCAGGAGGAACACCGGUGGCGAAGGCGGGUCUCUGGGACGGUACUGACGCUGAGACGCGAAAGCGUGGGGAGCGAACAGG